rnacentral:lncRNA from 7 species
CCCCAACAAACCCCUCCCCCACCCCAAGGCUGCUGCCGUGGUCACGUGACCGUCUGUCCCCACAGCCACACACCCCAUAUAACCCCAUGGCGCCGAUGGCCCCAUAGCCCACAUCCCAUAUGGCCCUAUAUGGCCCCAUAUCCCACAUCCCAUACCCCAUAUCACAUAUGGCCCCAUAGCCCACAUCCCACAAGGCCCCAUAGCCCACAUGGCCCCAUAGCCCACAUCCCAUAUGGCCUCAUAUCCAUAUGGCCCCACACCCCAUAUGGCACCAUAGCCAUAUUCCAUACCCAUAUCCCAUAUGGCCCCAUACCCACAUCCCAUACCCCAUAUGGCCCCAUAUGGCCCCAUAUCCCAUAUUCCAUACCCAUAGACCACAUGCCCAUAGCCCACAUCCCAUAUGGCCCUAUAUGGCCCCAAUCCCAUACCCCAUAGCCCAUAUAGCUCCAUAGCCCACAUCCCAUACCCUCAUAUGGCCCCAUAUCCCCUAUGGCCCCAUAACCCACAUCACAUAUGACCCCAUAGCCCAUAUCCCCUAUGGCCCCAUAGCCCACAUCCCCAUAUGGCCCUAUAUGGCCCCACAUCCCAUAUGGCCCAUAUCCCAUAUGCCCCAUAGCCCAUAUGGCUCCAUAGCCCACAUCCCAUAUGGCUCCACAUCCCAUAUGGCCCCAUAGCCCACAUGGCCCCAUAGCCCACAUCCCAUAUGACCCCAUAGCCCACAUCCCCACAUGGCCCUAUAUGGCCCCAUAUCCCAUAUGGCCCCACAUCCCAUAUGGCCCCAUAGCCCACAUCCCAUAUGGCCCCACACCCAAUAUGACCCCAAAGCCCACAUCCCCUACCCCCAUAUGGCCCUAUAUGGCCACAUAUCCCAUAUCCCAUAUCCCAUAGCCCAUAUGGCCCCAUAUCCCAUACCCCAUAUGGCCCUAUUUGGCCCCAUAUUCCAUACCCCAUAGCCCAUAUGGCUCCAUAGCCCACAUCCCCAUAUGGCCCUAUAUGGCCCCAUGUUCCAUAUCCCAUACCCCAUAUUGCCCUCUAUGGCCCCAUAUUCCAUAUCCCAUAUG